CACGUAGGGGGCGAGCGUUGUCCGGAUUUAUUGGGCGUAAAGAGCUCGUAGGCGGCUCGGUAAGUCGGGUGUGAAAUUUCGAGGCUCAACCUCGAAACGCCACCCGAUACUGCUGUGGCUAGAGUCCGGUAGGGGAGCGUGGAAUUCCUGGUGUAGCGGUGAAAUGCGCAGAUAUCAGGAAGAACACCCGUGGCGAAGGCGGUUCUCUGGGACGGUACUGACGCUGAGACGCGAAAGCGUGGGGAGCGAACAGG
rnacentral:rRNA from 1 species